AUUGAACGCUGGCGGCAUGCCUUACACAUGCAAGUCGAACGGUAACAGGUCUUCGGAUGCUGACGAGUGGCGAACGGGUGAGUAAUACAUCGGAACGUGCCCAGACGCGGGGGAUAACGAGGCGAAAGCUUUGCUAAUACCGCAUACGAUCUAAGGAUGAAAGCAGGGGACCGCAAGGCCUUGCGCGUUUGGAGCGGCCGAUGGCAGAUUAGGUAGUUGGUGGGAUAAAAGCUUACCAAGCCGACGAUCUGUAGCUGGUCUGAGAGGACGACCAGCCACACUGGGACUGAGACACGGCCCAGACUCCUACGGGAGGCAGCAGUGGGGAAUUUUGGACAAUGGGCGAAAGCCUGAUCCAGCAAUGCCGCGUGCAGGAUGAAGGCCUUCGGGUUGUAAACUGCUUUUGUACGGAACGAAAAGGCUCUGGCUAAUACCUGGGGCACAUGACGGUACCGUAAGAAUAAGCACCGGCUAACUACGUG
rnacentral:rRNA from 1 species